UGAGUGAUGGUUGAUGGCUGUUUGGUACAAGGUAGUGGUGAACAGUUUCAGUUCAUAGAGGAUAGCUAGCAUCAUGGCAGAGGUGACAAUAAUGCACUCUCAGCCUUUGCAGUUAGAGUGCAGUAACAUGAGGCAUAUAACUCAGGGAGAAGAUACAAUCUGUCAUCAAUUGUAAAGUGCAUGCAUGGAGGAAAAUUGAAAGUUUUUGCAAGAUAAGUUUGAGUGCAGUAACAUGAAAUAUAGAGUACAAUAUGAGAAAUACCUCUAGAAU